AAUUUUGAGCGCGGAAUAAUAAUAAUAACUAGAAAAGGAAAGUUCGAUAACGAACUUUAAGUUGGCUUGGAAAAGUACGUUAAAUAGUUAAAUAACGUUGAAUAGUUAAAAUGGUUGCUAAGAUAUUUCUGUCUAAAGCGUGUGAAGAGUGGUUGCUAUGCUGUUGACUUUCGGCUAAAUGUUGAAGUCCAAAAAGUUUUGGCUAACAUGGUGAAAAGCUUAUAAUUAUAUUAUAAAGUAAAGUGUUGCUAAGUGGUUGCUAGGUAGUUGCUAGGCAGUUGAUAAUGUAGUCCACAUCGUUGCUUAGUGCUUGCUAAUUGGUUGCUAGGCAGUUGCGAACAUAUUCAAGGUGGUUGCUAAGCUGUUGCUAACUUGUUGCUAGGCAACUCCUAACGUAUUCCAAAUGGUUUUUAAGUGGUUAUUAGGCAGUUUCUAAUAUUUUCCAGGUGGUUGCUAACUGGUUGCUAUGGUAUCCGGGGUGGUUGCUAAGGUGUUGCUAGGUGGUUGCUAAGGUGUUGCUAUGGUAUCCGGGGUGGUUGCUAAGGUGUUGCUAGGUGGUUGCUAGACGGUUGCUAGGCGGUUGCUAAGGUGUUGCUAUGGUGUCUGUGGUGGUUGCUAAGGUGUUGCUAGGUGGUUGCUAAGAUGUUGCUAUGGUAUCUGGGGUGGUUGCUAAGGUGUUGCUAGGUGUAUCUGACUGGUCGCUAGGCAGUUGCUACCAUUUCUAAAGUGGUUGCUAAGCAGUUGCUAAUGUUUUCCAGGUGGUUGCUAAGGUGUUGCUAUCUGGUUGCUAGGCAGUUGCUAACGUAUUACACAUGGUUGCUAAGUGGUUGCUAGGCAGUUGCUAAUGUUUUCCAGGUGGUUGCUAAGGUGUAUCUAACUGGUUGCUAGGCAGUAGUAGAUAAAAAGAAAGAGUGUUAAAUGUAGAAGUACAGAAAAAGGGAGAGCCUGAAAUAGAGAAGUAGAGAGAAAAUCAGCGUGAGAAGUAGAGAAAGAACACCCGAGAAUAUGAGAAAAAGAGUGACAAGUAGAGAGAAAUAUUGAGCGAGAGAAAGAGAAUUAGGGAAAAAGAGAGAUCGAGAAAUAAAGAAGUAGAGAAAGAAAGAGGAUGUAGUAGAGAGAUAGAUAGAAAGAGAAAGCAAGACAGAA